GACGAACGCUGGCGGCGUGCCUAAUACAUGCAAGUCGAACGCACAGUUUAUACCGUAGCUUGCUACACCAUAGACUGUGAGUUGCGAACGGGUGAGUAACGCGUAGGUAACCUGCCUGGUAGCGGGGGAUAACUAUUGGAAACGAUAGCUAAUACCGCAUAAUAUUAAUUAUUGCAUGAUAAUUAAUUGAAAGGUGCAAUUGCACCACUACCAGAUGGACCUGCGUUGUAUUAGCUAGUAGGUGAGGUAACGGCUCACCCAGGCGACGAUACAUAGCCGACCUGAGAGGGUGCUCGGCCACACUGGGACUGAGACACGGCCCAGACUCCUUCGGGAGGCCGCAGUAGGGAAUCUUCGGCAAUAGACGAAAGUCUGACCGAGCAACGCCGCGUGAGUGCAGAAGGUUUUCGGAUCGUAAAGCUCUGUUGUAAGAGAAGAACGGGUGUGAGAGUGGAAAGUUCACACUGUGACGGUAGCUUACCAGAAAGGGACGGCUAACUACGUG
rnacentral:rRNA from 1 species